rnacentral:rRNA from 1 species
UUCCUACGGGAGGCAGCAGUGGGGAAUAUUGGACAAUGGGGGCAACCCUGAUCCAGCAAUGCCGCGUGUGUGAAGAAGGUCUUCGGAUUGUAAAGCACUUUCGACGGGGACGAUGAUGACGGUACCCGUAGAAGAAGCCCCGGCUAACUUCGUGCCAGCAGCCGCGGUAAUACGAAGGGGGCUAGCGUUGCUCGGAAUGACUGGGCGUAAAGGGCGUGUAGGCGGUUUGUACAGUCAGAUGUGAAAUCCCCGGGCUUAACCUGGGAGCUGCAUUUGAUACGUCCAGACUAGAGUGUGAGAGAGGGUUGGGAAUUCCCAGUGUAGAGGUGAAAUUCGUAGAUAUUGGGAAGAACACCGGUGGCGAAGGCGGCAACUGGGCUCAUUACUGACGCUGAGGCGCGAAACAUUGGGGAGCAACCAGGAUUAGAUACCUGGGUAGUCCACGCUGUACGAUAUGUGUGCUAGAUGGUGGGUUAUUUUGUCAUUCAGUGUCGCAGUUAACGCGUUAAGCACUCCGCCUGGAGACGCCCACUUGU